ensembl:lncRNA
AUUUAGUCAUCUGUUUCUGCCUUCCUCUCAUGCCCUGUUCCUGGGUGAGGAAGCUUCUGUGCUUCCUUGUACAGACUAUUUGCCUUGCUUGGAACAGAGGACAAUGGCAGCACUGAGCCCUACCAGAGCUGAAUUAUUCCACUGGAACACAAUGCAAUCAGAUCUAACCUUCAUUCCAACCCAGCACAAGACCAAGCACCCAAAAGCAGGAUCACGAUGUGGGAAGAUCAGCAGUUUCAACUCCCACUAACCUACCAGCUGUGACAGGACACAAGCCAACAGAUGUUGCCAACUCAAAGUAAUCAUUAAUCAGGCAAAAAAAAAAAC